rnacentral:rRNA from 1 species
UACGGGGGGGGCAAGCGUUGUUCGGAAUUACUGGGCGUAAAGGGUUUGUAGGUGGCUCGCUAAGUCAGACGUGAAAUCCCUCAGCUUAACUGGGGAACUGCGUCUGAGACUGGCAAGCUUGAGUGCCGGAGAGGAAAGCGGAAUUCCUGGUGUAGAGGUGAAAUUCGUAGAUAUCAGGAGGAACACCAGUGGCGAAGGCGGCUUUCUGGACGGUAACUGACGCUGAGACGCGAAAGCGUGGGGAGCAAACAGG